UAAGUUAAACUAUAGCUACUAAAUGUCAAUAACCACUAUGUUUGUUAUAUCACGUAGUUAUUCCUUUUAUUAUUGAGUCCACAAAAACGUAUGACCCAGUCCAUUCUAUGAGGGUGCUGGUUUUCUCAUCUUCAUCAAUCAUACACUCCCCCAACCACCAAAAAACCCUAACCCCUUCCCCAUUUUCGUCAAUUUUUUCAUCACAGAUCUACACCGAAGUCUUCUCCCCUAGUUUAGCCAUGUCGGAGGUGCUGUUCACCUCUCUCAUCCACGCCCCUUCAUCUUCUCUUACACGAAAUCAGCCUUAAAAGUCUUCAAGUCAGUAGAAAAUGUGACGAAUCCCAGAGGAUCCGGGGAUUUGAUGGGAAAUAUCAAUUUUUUCAACCAAAUGCAUCAAUUCUUGUACCCGUUGGUUGUUCCAUUUCUUUUUUCUUUUUUCAAUCGAACCCUCACCCCCUCCUUGGAUGAUUUUCAAAUUUCAAAUACCCUCUUGUUUUUAGUAUAAAUACAUGGUCUUGGUGACCAUCUAAACCAGAGAUUGAUCUCCCCAACAAAUCUGAAUACAAUUGCUUCUUUUGUUCUCUGAUUUCUCAGUUCGGUUUUCUCAUCUUUAUUCACUCGUGUGCUUUGUUUCUAUUUGAAUACUAAAACUCGGGUGUUUCGGUGAAAGUAGGAUUCGUCAUCGACUUAGCCUCAGUCGCUGCACACAAACAAGGUAACCUUCGUUAAAUAUUUGGUUCUCUUGAUUCGAUCAAGUUCACAUCUGUUUGAUUAGUUUGUGUGUGAAAGUGUGAUUUGAGAUUACUUUCCAGUGUUUUUCUUUCAGUCUUAGAAUUCCAUGUUUGUGUCUUCAAGUUGUAUCAUAUAAUUUGAUUUCAUUUAAGUCAUUAGUUAGUGAUGUUUCACGCUCAUUUUAGUAUUUGCUUGAAUAUUUUUUAGUUCUGUGCAUUACCAUUUCAUGUAGAUUGGUUCAAAUCUAAUUUCGUUUGAGUUGGACCGUAAAAAAAAAGAUCUUUUCUUUUAUGCGAAAGUAUGAAGUUGCUGUUAGUUCUUCUCCUUAAAAGUCUAUUGCUAAUGGUUAUGCUAAGAACAACUAUAGCAGUAUAGCUUGAAUGAUCGAUGCUUAUCUUAAGGCUUAAUCACUAGUCCUCUCCAAUCAGAAACAAGACUGAGCAUGGUCGACAUGUUACUUUCCAGUUCAAAAUUAGAUUAAAUAUGAGUCGAUACUUUCAAAUUUUGUUCAUAGUGGUGGCUGUUUGUUUAAUAGUUGAAGUUCGACAAGGCGGGGGAUUUUUAAGGGUUGAAAGAGCUGCUGCAAAUAGGUGUUUACCUUUUUUACAAAAUUCAUCCCUCUUUGUUUUUUUUUUUAAAAAAAGAUCUCGCUUAAAUCACAAGUCUAGAUUAAGUUUUGGUUCUGAACUUAUUUUAGAAAGAUUUUGACGUGCUUCCAAACAUCUGAUUCGUUUAAUUGAACCAAGUUUUUUUUAGGAAUUUAUCUUUCGCAACUUGGAUAUGGAGUAGUUAGUUUACUGUUUAUUUCUUGUUCGAUAGGCUGGUGUGUAAACUCUUUCAAAGGAAUCUCCGUCGUAAAAGAUUAGUAAAUCUGUUAUAGCUUAAGAUCUAUUAGACUGCCUUUUUCUUGAAAUCUUUUUUUUUCCUUUUUCAGAACUAUUAGAGAUUAGAUGGCAAAUUCGGAAAUACUUGAUAUCGAACUAGUUCAAUUAUGCCUAAGGUUAAACUCUUCCAUGAAAAGAUAGUUAGUUAUCAUCAUGUAAUAUCCAAAUUCCCGUCCUACAUAGAUUCUGUUUUAAUUUUGAUUAGGUAGUUAUGAGAUAAUUACCUUAAUUGUUUUGGUAAGGACCUGAAUGAGUUCUUGAGUUUUCUUUAGUAGUUAAGACCAUAUUUUCAAAAUUAGGCCUGUAGUAGCACCGACAUAGUUAUCUGGUUUGGUUAUUUUUCUUAACACACGUAAAAAACUUGUGCAGGCAUAGAUGACCCCAUUCUGUCCUGUUUUGUUUGAAAGAUGAAAAUGGUUGAAAAACCCUGUUGUUAUCUUUAAAUUUCAGUUUCGUCUUCGUUUAUGUUCGUAAAGAGUUCCCAACCUGCUAAAGAAUCUCCCUCUCCUUCUAUAUUUAAUUUGGUAAGAACUAGAGUAUGCCAAAGUGUUAGUUUCACUCAGGCACUUUAAUACUCGUUUGGUAAUGAAAAGCUCGAAUUUUGGAUUACGGAUAAGAAUAAACACUCGAGUUUGUUUUUCGGGUCUCUUUUGUGUUGUUUCUUGCGAUGACUAAGUUUCUUCUUUAAAAAGAUGUUUCCACAAUUUGAGCACGAAACAGUUCAGCUUAGUUCUCAGUCUUUUUUUUGUUUUAUUUAAUAAACUGGUUUGAAAAUUCAUUUUAAAAAUCUUUUCUACUUGAAAUGUUGUUUAAUGGAAGUUUAUUUUCUCUCACCAGUUUCUAUUUGACGUUUUCUCUAACUUACCACUUUGUCUUUUCGAAUAAGUUGUGUUCAAAUAUAGAAGAUUGUUACCAAGUGUUUAGAUGCUCAAGUUUUUCUGUAAAAGUUAACAUCAGUGAAUUACAUAUCCUCCUAAUGUGUUUCAAGCAUGGCUGUUUGUGUUUUAUGUCGUAUGAGACUCAUAAGCUGACCUUUUAACCUUAGGAUAAUUUAUGUAAAGCAUGCUAUGAGGUUGAAGUUUACAAGAGCCAUUACUUGCUUAAAAUCUCUGCACAUGUUGAGUUAUCACCUUAGUUAAAAAAAAAACUCUCUUUUUACUCUUUUAAAUAGAAUUCAUGGUAUGAUGAUUUGAACUUUGGCAUGCCUAAAACUAACUUAACUUCAGUUUUAUUUAUUUGUUCCCGAGUGUUUAAAUAAUUACCAGUUCAAGCUCAUACUCUUUUUUGCUUUGACAAUAAGUUGAGGAUAACAGGUCUUAAAGAGCUAAGUUUUUCACUCAACUCCUUUUUGUUUAUCAAGUAUUUUUAAUAGCCAAGACGCAAGUUUUAAUUAGCUAAAGAGUCCCAAUAUAUUCAGUUUGUGUGAUUUUCAGUUUACUAGUUAAUUGCAGUAGUUUAUUUGAUCAAUUUUUGUUUUCUGCCUUAGCUUCAAAGUAGUUUGUUGCGUGCUCGUUUAUGUUCUGAUUAUGGGAGGAGGGUUAGUAAUCGGUUUGGCCUUAGCCUAGGUCCAGCUGGGUUGCAUUUGCUAGUCUCUGCCUUUUUCUUUAGAUUCAAAACAGAAAUUUCAAUUGGAAAUUAUUUCUACUCAUGAGUAUAGAAGUUCUUUUAAGUUUGAAUCGUUUAGCUUAAGACUGAAAUUCCGGAUCUUGUUUAGGUUCUAUUCGAAAGCUAAGUGUUUGAUGCCGAUAGAUCUUGUCUAAGUAGAAGGGAUUAGUAGUAUAAUUUCUUUUUGUCUUCUCUCUUUGUUUUAAGAUUCAAGGUCAGUAAUCCCUCUCCUCUCUUUGUUCUCGAUUUUGAAAAAAUUCUGAAUAACAAACUUAUGCGAUUAUCCAUGUUUAAAUCUGAACUUUGGGUUGUUUGAUCUUGUUUUACUAUAGAAGCAUUAUUUCAGUCACUGUUAGUAUAUUUAGCAUCAGAUCCUUACUAAAAUAUAGGAAAACCAUAAGUACAUGGCUAUUGUUCUUGUUUCAAUAUGAUUGUCAUUCUGAAAUCUCUCCAUUGCUUACUCGUGUUUUUUUUUUAGGAUUAAAAUACUACUGCGUUACUAGUAGACAUUUAGUCCAGAAAAUGGGUUCAGUACUUUCUAUGUGUUCCUUCACUUUUUUAAUUAGACUAGCUCCCAUGAAGUUUAUUUUCCUUCAUGUAUUUUUCCUUACAAAGAGCUAGAAACCGUAUGCUGCUUUGUUUAAGUCCAGCAAUAGUGUGAUUUUUUCCAUCUUUCUUUGAAUGAGUAUUAUGUGCUCUUUCGUUUCAAGUUUCAGUUCUCUUUAAGUUGAGAUCGCUUUGUCCUUGUUUUGCCUUGGUCUAUAUAAUCUCAGAAUUUAUAUUACAUUUUGAACCAGUCGUCUGUUUUACUCCGAAUAAAAAAAAACAUUUACAUCCUUUAGUUUAUGAAAAAUAUACAAGCAUGAAAUGCUAUUCAAGACAGCCAAAAUAUGGCUGUAUUUUGGUUCAAAAAGAGGAAAACAAUUCUUUUUUUUUUUUUAAAAUUUUUAUCUCUUCCACUAUGUUUUGAGAGGGAAAUCUUGAACAACUUGAUUUCUAUUAAGUUUCUGACUAUAUUGUUUUUUUCAUGUUAUUACAGAUAUCUUUGUUUGUCUUUUAAUAAAACCAGAUUUUUUUUUAAGCUAAGCUUUGAUCAAAUUCUGAAUAGCUUCAAAGUUGUUUCCAGUUAAAAUAAUUAACUCUCCCAUAAGUUAUCUUUUUUUAAGUUUUCCAUCUAAUAGCUGUUGUCCGGGUAAAAAGGAUCUUGCUAAAUGUAAUGGUACAUGUCGUAUAUUCCAAAACAUUCCGUGGCUUCUUCUUUGUUCAGAAUUAUUUAAUCUAAUUGUGUUUGUAUGCUCAACAUAAGAUUAAUGCCAAUCCAUUCUUAUGUACAGUUGCUAAUCAUUUUUCUUCAUAUUUUUAUAUGCAUAUGGCGUAUCCUCGGAGUCUACUGGACUCUAUUCACCAUCACAUAAUAGGUCCGGUUUUUGACCCAACAUAAAAUUCAUCGAGUCAGCCUCUUUGUUCUGUCACCUUCGAGCUGAAGCAAGGAAAGAAAAUGCGAGCCCAAGUAUAAAGGAGCAGCAGCAGUAACAGAUCAAGAAAAAAAAAAAUCUUGGGUGAAGUCCGAGAGAAAUUUAGGACAGGGGCAUUUUUAGACUCUUUUGGCCUCAGCCCAAGUACCAUAACAGCGGUUGGGCCUGAGGCUCAAUCCAUUCUCUCUGACUCUUUUAUUUCAUGCUUUGUAUAUGUUUUGCACUAACAAUUUUAAAGCUUAGAUGAUCAUCCCCACAGAGAUUAUGAACGUGGAGUUGUUUGUUGUGCCU